rnacentral:rRNA from 1 species
AACAGGAUUAGAUACCCUGGUAGUCCACGCCGUAAACGAUGCUAACUCGUUUUUGGGCUUUCGGGUUCAGAGACUAAGCGAAAGUGAUAAGUUAGCCACCUGGGGAGUACGAACGCAAGUUUGAAACUCAAUGGAAUUGACGGGGGCCCGCACAAGCGGUGGAUUAUGUGGUUUAAUUCGAUGAUACGCGAGGAACCUUACCAAGACUUAAAUGGGAAUUGAUCGGUUUAGAAAUAGACCUUCCUUCGGGCAAUUUUCAAGGUGCUGCAUGGUUGUCGUCAGCUCGUGCCGUGAGGUGUUAGGUUAAGUCCUGCAACGAGCGCAACCCCUGUCACUAGUUGCCAUCAUUCAGUUGGGGACUCUAGUGAGACUGCCUACGCAAGUAGAGAGGAAGGUGGGGAUGACGUCAAAUCAUCACGGCCCUUACGUCUUGGGCCACACACGUAAUACAAUGGCCGGUACAGAGGGCAGCUACACAGCGAUGUGAUGCAAAUCUCGAAAGCCGGUCUCAGUUCGGAUUGGAGUCUGCAACUCGACUCUAUGAAGCUGGAAUCGCUAGUAAUCGCGCAUCAGCCAUGGCGCGGUGAAUACGUUCCCGGGCCUUGUACACACCGCCCGUCAAGCCAUGGAAGUCUGGGGUACCUGAAGUCGGUGACCGUAACAGGAGCUGCCUAGGGUAAAACAGGUAACUAGGGCUAAGUCGUAACAAGGUA